GACGAGCGAGCGGGUGUGUCAACGACAACGAUCAGUUAUGCCACCCAAGAAGAAGAAAGGGGACAUACAAAGCUUUUUCACUAUGCAGAGUCUAUAGUUCACCAUGGGGAGGAGGCGGCAAGGAGGUCCAUGGGCUCUAACCUGGGACUAGAGAUCCAGGUGAUGUGGUUUGGCUGGGGUGUGGUGAUAUUGAACCCAUUGAGACUAUACAGUACAUUUCACUUUAUGUCUAUUGAUGGACUGUUACACCUACCCUUUACUUAUGCCAAACCCAUUUCUGUUCUUUAAAUAUCAGAAAGCAAACUUACUGUUGAUGGCACUGAACUUCCACUUGGAAAUGUUUAUGGAACUUUUCUGAACU